rnacentral:precursor_RNA from 14 species
AGCCACGAUUAUCAUUUAUAUCUUACCCAGUAGUACUGGCAUAUGGACAUUGGUAUGCAUUGAAACCCCAGUGUUCAUAUUCCAGUACAGCCAGGUGAGGUAUCAUAAGCGCACACAUCCAG